GANNCUGGAGAGGAUANNNNCCACACUGGGACNNNNACACGGCCCAGGCUAGCUAAGCCAGCACCGGGGAAAAAAGGACCAUCGGGCGAAAUGCAGCAUCCAGCCAGAAGUCGCUGGUGAUGCGACGUACUUAGGGUUGUACCCCUCCGAUCGCCACGNNNNNUAGGCGGUAGUACGGUAACGAAGGCCCGUCGAUCUUCGUGGGGGGCGAUCGAUCGACGAUUUUCUAGUGGGUAGCUAGCGUUGUUCGGAAUUACUGGGCGUAAAGCGCACGCAGGCGGGUCAUAGUCAGAAGUGAAAGCCCUGGGCUCAACCCGGGAAUUGCUUUUGAUACUGGACCGCUAGAAUCACGGAGCCCCGGUAGUGGAAUUCCGAGUUUAGAGGUGAAAUUCGUAGAUAUUCGGAAGAACACCAGUGGCGAAGGCGCUACCUGGCCGUCGAUUGACGCUCAUGUGCGAAAGCGUGGGGAGCAAACAGGAUUAGAUACCCUGGUAGUCCACGCCGUAAACGAUGAGUGCUAGUUGUUGGGGUGCAUGCACCUCAGUGACGCAGCUAACGCGUUAAGCACUCCGCCUGGUUGAGUACGGCCGCAAGGUUAAAACNCAAAGGAAUUGACGGGGGCCCGCACAAGGCGUGGAGCAUGUCUUUAAUUCGAAGCAACGCGCAGACCUUACCAGCCCUUGACAUGGGACGUAUGUAGGUCAGAGAUGGCCUCUUGUCUUCGGACGCGUCCACACACUUCUGCAUGGCUGUCGUCAGCUCGUGUCGUGAGAUGAAGGGUUAAGUCCNNCAACGAGCGCAACCCUCAUCUUCAGUUGCCAUCAU
rnacentral:rRNA from 1 species